GAAUGAUGGAUCUACAAGUGAUGGGCUCAAUUAAGGAUUGGUGGUUAAAGAUUCUAAUAUGAUGGUUGAUAUGGCCAGAUCCAAUUAGGUAUGUUAAUCGAAACUAGUGAAGAAAUUUCAGGGAGAAAAUACACGGAACAAGGCUAGCUGUAGAGGUGGGGUAGAAAGUAGAA